CGGGAGGGAGGGACGGAGGUGCGGGCGCCCCUGCGCGGAGAUCCGCCCGGGGUCGCGUUCGCUGAUCCGCCGGCGCGUCGCCUCAUCCCGCCUCCCGGCCGCGAGCGGGGGCUGAGGCGGCGCGGGGCGGCCGUGGCGCGCGGGGCGUGAGGGAGGCCGUGGGGCGGCGCGGCCGGGGUCGCCUCAGGGCUGCGCGGGCACCCGGAGACGCGAACCCGCCGCCAGGCGUGUUGAGGAAGGCGAGCCGGCGGUCCGGUGCCGGUGAAUCGGUAGACGGAGGAAGCUGGCCGGGCUAGCCUGGCUGCGGGAUGGGGAAGGGCUGGCGCUGGCCAGCGCGGGAGGGAGCCCAGGGGCUUGUCUAAGAAGCAGAGCCUCCUGAGAAACCCGGGUGUCUGCGGACCCCAAAGGUUUCGAAGACUCCGAACAAAAGCUUUUGGAAGGCGCCGCCUCCGGUUGAGCGCCGAGCGGGGCUGGGGGCUGUGGGCUGAGGCCCGGAUGCCCCGCGCGUCGCUGCUGACCCGCGCGUGGUCCGUGGCCAAUGCUCUGCUAAGCAGGAUGAAUGACAACCUGUUUGUCAGUUUGGACAGACUUUUGCUAGAAUUUGUUUUCCAGUAUGAGCAAGACAUAAGUACCAAAGAAGAUGUGAUUCAAAGAAUUAAUAAAUGUGUUGAAGAUAUUAAAGAAAACAGAGCAAUUAUUUGUAACAUACAUGAAACCAUAAGUACAACUGAUGAAGAAAUUGACUAUUACUGUAAACAUAGUAAGGAGAUCAAAAACAACUGUAGUGACUGGAAGCCUACAUGUGAUGUUUUCCAUAAGCAUGAAGAUUACAUGCAGGACCAGUUUACUGUCUAUCAAGAAACUGUUGAGAAAGACAAAAAAAUGUAUCAUGGUUAUAUAUGUCAGUAUAAAGAUGUUUUGAAGCAAUACCAACUAAAAUAUUCAGAAGCACCCUAUUCACAUGAAUAUUAUGAGAAGAAAAGAGAACAUGAAGAAAUUAAAAGCAGAGUGUUGGCAUGUUCUGAACAACUAAAACUCAAUGAAAAUAUCCUCAUGGAAUUUCUAGUGCCUGCUCCCUUUCCAUCACUUAAUAAAUGGACAUUACACAUAGUUAAUUUGAGAUGUAAAACACAAGAAAUUCUUAAACAUGCCAACAGCUUUACCAGAAGUUCAUCUGAAUUGAAGAAAGAAGCAGAAGAAAUGGAAAUAGAAAUCAAUUAUUUAAAUAAGAUUGCGAGACUCUAUGAAACUAAGAAUCUUUCAGAAAGUCUAGAAGAAAAGAACAAAAGUACUGAAAAGAGAAAGGAGUUGAAAGAAAGAAUUUUUGAAAAAGAUGAGCAUGUGCUUGUAUUGAAUAAAACCCCUCAAAGUACUAAAUUAUUUCUUCCUUAUGAAUCUCAGAACUUAGUAAGACCAAUAAAGAUACAUUCUUCAGAACCAAGAGUUACAGAUAAAAAAGAAGAAAGUUCUGUGAAGUGGUCAAAGCUCGCCAAUAUUGACUUCAGACAAAAAGAAAAUGAUACACAGAUAUUUAGUGACUCUGGUGUAAAUAGCCAUUCAAAAAGUUCACAAAAUCUAAUGCAAUUCAGGUUGUUAUCUCCACAGAAGCAAUCAAAUUGUAAUCAGUGGUUUGAAAAAGGACAUACAGAUGCUGAGUGUGGAGAUAAAGGGACAGUGAGACCUUUAAGAGAAUCAAAAUGUACUUCACAGGCUAUCUACACAGAACAUUUCGGAAAGACAAUAGAAAAUAAUAGUGACAAAGUAGAAGAAAGAACUGAGAAUUUUCCACAAACUCCUGAAAUUUCUGUAUUUUUAAGAACUCCUGAAGCUGUAAAAACACCUGAAUCUUUGGAGAAAGUGCAGUUUCCUAAAACCCCAUCAUUUGAAAUAAAUAGAAAUGCAAUACCUGAAGGUCAAACAGAAAAGGGAUCUCCUGGAUUUUCUUUUCUUAUGAGUUAUACUUCUAGAUCACCUGGAUUGAAUUUAUUUGAUUCUUCUAUAUUUGAUUCAGAAAUCUCAUCAGAUCAGUUUAAUGAACAUUAUUCUGCAGGAAAUCUAAAUCCUGUUUCAUCACAACAAGAAAUUGGGUGUCUUGGCUUUCCAUGCCUAAAUACUCUCAUGGACUCUUCAGCCAUAUCCGAAUGCCUUAAGGGCUGAUUCUGAGGCGAGUACUAUUUAGGACAUCUGCCAUUCUAUGAGUUUACUGUGUAUCCCGCUUCCCAUGAUGGAUUGUUCUCUCCCUUUUUGAUUCUAUCAGCUAGUAUUAGCAGACACUAGACUUGUUUGUGUGAUCCCUUUGAUUCCUAGACCUAUCAGUGUGAUCAAUUGUGAACUGAAAUUGAUCACUUGGACUAGUGAGAUGGCAUUGGUACAUGCCACCUUGAUGGGAUUGUAUUGGGAUCCCCUGGCAUGAUUCCAACCAUUUGGGGCAAGUCCAAUUGAGCAUGUCCCAAAUUGUACAUCUCCUCCCUCUCUUAUUCCCACUCUUAUAUUUAACAGGGAUCACUUUUCAGUUAAAAUUUAAACACCUAAGAAUAAUUGUGUGUUAAUCAUAGAGUUCAACCAAUAGUACUAGAACAAAAACAAAGAGAAAAUACUAAAAUGGAUAAAGUAUUACAUUGUACAUCAACAGUCAGGACAAGAGCUGAUCAAGUCACUGUUUCUCAUAGUGUCCAUUUCACUUCAACAGGUUUCCCCUUUGCUGCUCAGUUAGUUGUCACCGAUCAGAGAGAACAUAUGAUAUUUGUCCCUUUGGGACUGGCUUAUUUCACUCAGCAUGAUGUUUUCCAGAUUCCUCCAUCUUGUUGCAAAUGACCGGAUUUCGUUGUUUUUGACUGCUGGAUAGUAUUCUAUAGAGUACAUGUCCCAUAAUUUCUUUAUCCAGUCUACUGUUGAUGGGCAUUUUGGUUGGUUCCAGGUCUUAGCUAUUAUGAAUUGAGCUGCAAUAAACAUUAAUGUGCAGACCACUUGAUUGUUUGCCAAUUUAAUUUCCUUUGGGUAAAUUCCAAGGAGUGGUAUGGCUGGGUUGAAUGGUAGGGUUAUAUUCAGGUUUCUGAGGAAUCUCCAGACUGACUUCCAUAGUAGCUUAACCAGUUUUCAUUCCCACCAACAGUGAGUGGGUCAGUGUCCCUUUUUCCCCACAUCCUCUCCAGCAUCUGUUGUUGGUAGAUUUCUGAAUGUGAGCCAUUCUAACUGGGGUGAGGUGAAACCUCAUUGUGGUUUUGAUUUGCAUUUCCCUGAUUGCUAGUGAUCUUGAACAUUUUUCAUGUGCCUGUUGGCCAUUUGGAUUUCCUCUUUUAAAAAAUGUCUAUUGAGGUCCUUGGCCCACCUCUUAAGUGGGUUGUUUGUUUUGAUGUUGUGGAGUUUCUUAAUUUCUUUGUAGAUUCUGGUUAUCAACCCUUUAUCUGUUGCAUAGUUUGUGAAUAUUUUUUCCCAUUCUGUUGGUUGCCUCUUCACUUUCCUGACUGUUUCUUUUGAAGUACAGAAACUUCUCAAUUUGAUGCAAUCCCAAAUGUUAAUUUUGGCUUUGACUGCCUGUGCUUCUGGGGUAUUUUCCAAGAAGUCUUUGCCAGUACCUAUAUCUUGCAGAGUUUCUCCAUUGCUCUCUAAUAAUUUGAUGGUGUCGGGCCAGACGCAUAUUUCAAACUCUUUUAUUUUAUUUAAGUUAUGCAAGUUUCAUGCAUUUCAUGUAUACAGAUUUAGGAACAUAGUGAUACUUCCCACCUCCUGCCCAUGCUUCUUCAACUCCCUCUUCAAUUCUCACUCUUAAUUUUACCAAGUCUAUUUUCAAUUUACUUAGUGAUUAUAAAGUUAACCCUACACUAAGUAAAAGAGUACAAUAGUACAAGAAAAAAAAAAAAAACACUGUUCCUCAAAGGAAGAGACAAGGGCUGUAAACAAUCAUCAAAUCUCAAAAUGUCCAAUACAUCACAUUUUAGGUACUCUAUUAGUUACCUCAGGUCAGGGAAAACAUAUGAUGUCUGCCUUUUUGGGACUGCCUUAUUUCACUAAGCAUAAUGGUUUCCAGUUGCAUCCAUUUUAUUACAAAAGACAGGAUUUUUUUAAACACAGUGUAUAGUAUUCCAUAGUGUAUAUAUAUCAUCAUUUCUUUAUCCAGUCUUCAAUUAAUGGACAUCUGGGUUGAUUCCAUAUCUUAGCUAUUAUGAAUUGAACUGCAAUAAACAUGGGGAUACAGAUAACUCUUUCAUCUAUUGAUUUCAUUUCCUUUGGGUAAAUUCCCAGGAACGGGGUGGCUCAGUCAUAUGAUAGGCCUGUAUUGAGAUUUCUGAGAUAUCUCAUACUGUCUUCCACAGUGGCUGGACCAGUUUACAUUCCCACUAACAGUGGAUUAGGAUACCUUUUCUCCCUCAUCCCUGCCAGCAUCUGUUGUUUGUUAAUUUCUGUAUGUGAGCCAUAAUAACUGGGAUGAAGUGAAACCUCAUUGUGGUUUUGAUUUGCAUUUCCCUGAUGGUGAGUGAUCCUGAACAUUUUUUUCAGGUGUCUAUUGGCCAUUUGAAUUUCCUCUCUUUGCCCAUUUCUUAACUGGAUUGUUUGUUUUGUUGUUGAAUUUUUUGAGCUCUUUAUUGAUUCUAGACAUAUUUUAAACUCUUAAUACCAUUCACUUGGGCUAUUGGCCUUUUCACUCUCAGCUUACCUCUAAAUCCAGUUUAAUUAAUCAUUCUGGGGCUGAUCCUGUGGUGUAGCAGGUAAAGCUGUCGCCUGCAGUGCCAGCAUCUUAUAUGGACGCUGGUUCGAGUCCCAGGCUGCUCCACUUCUGAUCCAGCUCUCUGCUAUGGCCUGGGAAAGCAGUAGAAGAUGGCCCAAGUCCUUGGUCUCCUACACCCACGUGGGAAACCCGGGAGAGGCUCCUGGCUCCUGGCUUUGGAUCGGCUCAGUUCUGGCUAUUGUAGCCAUUUGGGAAGGGAACCUGUGGAUGGAAGACCUUGCUCUCUUUCUUUGCCUCUGCCUCACCAUAACUCUGCCUUUCAAAUAAAUAAAUAAAUCUUUUUUAAAAAAUUAAUCAUUCUUAUGCAUAAUGUUGGCAAUGUCACUGCUGUAAUCAAAAACCUUCAAUGUUCUUAUUGACUAUCAAAUUAUUAUUUUACUUUUCUAACCUAGUUCCAACAUAGCUUUUAAGUCCUUUCUUUUAAAAGAAUAAUCUGAGCCGGCGCCGUGGCUCAAUAGGCUAAUCCUCCACCUUGCGGCGCCGGCACACCGGGUUCUAGUCCCGGUCGGGGCGCCGGAUUCUGUCCCGGUUGCCCCUCUUCCAGGCCAGCUCUCUGCUAUGGCCAGGGAGUGCAGUGGAGGAUGGCCCAGGUGCUUGGGCCCUGCACCCCAUGGGAGACCAGGAAAAGCACCUGGAUCCUGGCUCCUGCCAUCGGAUCAGCGCGGUGCGCCGGCUGCAGCGGCGGCCAUUGGAGGGUGACCCAACGGCAAAGGAAGACCUUUCUCUCUCUGUCUCUCUCUCUCACUGUCCACUCUGCCUGUAAAAAAAAAAAAAAAAAAAAAAAAAAAAAAAAAAAAACAAAAAAAAAAAACCAGGAAUAUUAUAACAAUACACAAUGAGAAAAGUGAGUAUAGUCUUUCUAAGAUGGCUAAUAAGUGAUCAAUGGGAAGGUAAUGUCUACAGCAUGGAUAUCCUGGACAAAAAAAUAAUUCAUGACCUAGGUAGUCAGAGCAGGACUUCCAUAAGUUAGCCAGACGAGGAGUGGGGUAGGGAGCACAUAGCCUCAGGCUUGAGUUAUUUGUUUCUGAAGUUUUCAUGUAAUAUUUUUGGAUUGAAUUAACCAUGAGUAACUGAAAAUGUGGAAAGUAAAACCACAGAUAAGUGGGGAUUACUGUGGUUAAGAUGGUAAGUUUUUAUUUUAUGUAUAUUUUACCACCAUAGAAAAAAAAUUGAGGAAAAAUUAAAUGACCACAAGAAAUAGUAACCAAAAGAAGGCCAUUUAGGCCGGCACCGUGGCUCAAUAGGCUAAUCCUCCACCUAGCAGCGCCAGCACACCGGGUUCUAGUCCCGGUUGGGGCGCCGGAUUCUGUCCCGGUUGCCCCUCUUCCAGUCCAGCUGUCUGCUGUGGCCAGGGAGUACAGUGGAGGAUGGCCCAAGUGCUUGGGCCCUGCACCCCAUGGGAGACCAGGAGAAGUACCUGGCUCCUGCCUUUGGAUCAGCGCGGUGCGCCGGCCGUGGCGGCCAUUGGAGGGUGAAUCAACAGCAAAAGGAAGACCUUUCUCUCUGUCUCUCUCUCUCACUGUCCACUCUGCCUGUCAAAAAAAAAAAAAAAAAAAAAGCCAUUUAAAAAUAAAUUGCAAGGGCAGGCAUUUGGUAAACUGGUUUUUAAAAUGCCACUUUGGAUGCCUACACCUCAUAUCAGAGUGCCUGGAUUCAAGUCCUGGCUCCACUCCCAAUUCCAGCUUCCUGAUAAUGGGCACCUUGGGAGGUAGCAGUGAGGACUCAAGCAGGUGUUUGUCUGUCACCCAACUGGGAGGCCUGCACUGAGUUCCCAACUCCUGUCUUUGGUCUGCCUCAGCCCCAUCAUGCGCAUUUGGAGAUUUAACCAGUGGGUGAGAGCUCUCUGUUUUCUGUCUCCCUGUCUUUCAGAUAAAAUGAAUAAAUAAAUUAUUAUUUUAUCUUAUUAAAUUAUUUAUUUAUUUGAAAGGCAGAAUUACAGAGCGGGAGAUAAAGAGAGUGAUCUUCCAUCCUCUGGCUUACUCUGCAAAUGGCCACAACAGCCCAGGUUGGGGCAGGCUGGAGCCAGGAGCCAGGAGCCUUAUUCAGGUCUCCCACAUGGGUGUCAAGGGCCCAAGCACUUGGGCCAUCCUUCUCUAUUUUCCCAGGCACAUCAGCAGGGAGCUGGAUCAGAAGUGGAAUAGCCACCCACAUGGGAUGCUGGCACAGCAAGCGGCAGCUUUAACUGCUGCACCACAGCACCAGCCUGCAAUAAAUAAAUGUUUAAAAAAUAAUAAAAAGUUGCAAAUAUGUAAUUUCUAAUAAGAACAUUAUUCUAUGUAAGCAAAAUGCCAUUAUCACACUUAACAAUUCUAAUGCUGAUAUAAGAAUAUUAUUUAAUAUGUAGUUUAUAUUGGAAAAAUUAAAAGUAAGCAUCAAGAGAGUAACAUUGCACAGAAUAAACUGUUAACAUUUUGGUAUUUCAUUGCAAUAUAUGUAUAUAUUUACAUAGUUGAACACAGUGUAUGUAGUAGUGCUUCAGUCUUUUAAUUUUUUCAACUAGCAGAGUAUAAUACAGAUUCUAAGAUGGCAUUAAACAUGCUUUAUAAAAAUAAAAAGUGAUGUGUCUAGAAGCAGAACUGCUGAGCUGCAAACAACCUGGGUGUGAGUCAGAGAAUAUUAGGACAAGCCUGUCCACCAGGAAUAUAGAUUUGAUUGCAUGUGACUUGUGUCAACUUUGGAGAAAUCAAGAGCAAAAUGUAAAGCAAGGCAAAGGAAAUGCUUUUAAAUGAGCCAUUCAGCCUCUAAGGCAAGUUAUAUGGCAGCAAUUGAAAUUCAAAGGGAAAGCAUCAACAUGCCAGGUUUAACCAUCUUUAAAUCACACAUCACUUAUUCACUCAUUCCUUCACAAGAUCAAGUUUUAUUUUUAAAAUUUUAAUAACAGCAAUUAUUAGCACUAUCUGGGCAUUUAGCAGUUACAAAAGCUCUACUCAGAUACCUCUUAGGGCCCCUGAAAUUCUAAUACUCAGACGGAAGCCACAAAAUAUUAAUCUUUAUAUUUUCCAUUCACCAAAAAGGAUUUAAAAACUGAAUCAGCGUGGUAGGAGAUAGCCUUCUACUGUAUAAUGUAAAUCUGUACAUUCCAAUCUGCUCUAAACAGUAGCAUUUAUGUCUUGUUUUCGUACUACACUUUAGUGCAUUAAUGCUAUAACUCACAAAUAGAGAGGUAUUUCAUUCCUGGGGCUUUAAAGUUAAUGUAAAUAUCACAGUUGAAAAUCUAAUAGAACACUGAAAAAAAGUAAAGCCAGUUAAAUGGUGAAUUGCCUUAAUACAUACAUUGAGUCAAUCUUUUAAUUAGAACCAAGUGAUUUCUGGUGGUAUGGUUCAGAACUGUUAAGAAAGCUGGUCCUGGGGCCAGCGCUGUGGCACAGCCGGUUAAAGCCCCUGCUUGAAGUACUGGCAUCCCAUACGAGUGCCAGUUCGAGUCCCAGCUGCUCCACUUCCCAUCCAGCCCUCUGCUGUGGCUGUGGCCUGGGAGGGCGGUGGAGGAUGGCCCAAGUCCUUGGGCCCCUGCACUCAUGUGGGAGACCUGGAAGAAGCUCUUGGCUCCUGACUUCAGAUUGGUGCAGCUCCAGCCACUGCAGCCAAUUGAGGAGUGAACCAGUGGAUGGAAGAUAUCUCUGUCACUACCUCUCUCUCUAACUCUGACUUUCAAAUAAUAAAUCUUUAAAAAAAAAAAAAAAAAAGAAAGAAAGCCAGUCCUGUUUAAAUAAACAUCCUUAAGUCUCAGAGUUCAAAAAGCUGCCUGUAUUUCACUGGCAAAGAUUUGUAUUUCCAGUGAGAUGGUAGAAUAGGAGCUUCCAGUGCCCGUCCCCUUGUGGAAUCAUCAAUUUGAACAACUGUCCACAUGAGAAAACAGCUGCAAAGGAGCUCAAGGAUCCAGAUGAGAGAAUGCAGCACCUGAGUGGGGCACAGAAAGAAGAAAAGAGGCACUGGAGGGGGCAGAACAACAGUCUCCGCUCACCCAAGCCUCAGCUCUGCAGCACAGACAUCUGCACAGGAGAGUGAGCCCUUGGCUUUGCUAUAGUGAAGCACCAGGCCCACCUCAGUCAUCCUGGUGCCAUGAUUGCCGGGCAGCCCCACCUCCAGGCCUACCCCAGCACCAGGCUAACACAACCUCAGGUUCCAGGCUAGCUAGGCCUGCCCCAGGAUGGCUGUUAGAAAAAGACAAAAGAUUUAUUUGAAAGACUGAGUUACAGAAAGAGAGAGACACAUAGAGAGGUAUCUUCCAUCCACUGAUUCACUCCCCAAAUGGUCACAACGUCUAGAGCUGGGCCAAAUCAAAGCCAGAGCCAGGAGCUUCAUCUGGGUCUCCCACAAUGGUACAAGAACUUGGGCCAUCCUCUGCAACUUUUCCAGGCACAUUAGCAGGGAGCUGGAUCAGAAUCAGUGCAGCUGUAAACUUGAACCAGUGCCCAUAUGGGAUGCAGGCUUGUAGGUGGUGGCUUAACCUGUUGUACCACAGCACCAGCCCCAUAUGGAAUUUUUUUUUUUAAGAUUUAUUUAUUUUGCUUGAAAGAGUUACACAGAGAGAGAAGGAGAGGCAGGACGAGACAGAGAGAGAGAGAGAGAGAGAGGUCUUCCAUCUGCUGGUUCACUCCCCAAUUGGCUGCAAAGGCCGGAGCUGUGCCAAUCCGGAGCCAGGAGCUAGGAGCCUGCUUCAGGUCUCCCACACGGGUGCAGGGGCCCAAGGACUCGGGCCAUCUCCUACUGCUUUCCCAGGCCACAGCAGAGAGCUGGAUAGGAAGUGGAGCAGCUGGGUCUCGAACCCGCGUCCAUAUGGGAUGCCGGCACUGCAGGCUGGGUUUUAACCCACUGCACCACAGCACCGGCCCUGCCCCAUAUGGAAUUAAAAAAAAUUUUUUUGGAUUCUUCAUUGGUGGUGUAUAGAAAUGAAACGUAUUUUUGUAUGUUGACUUUGCAUCCUGCUGCUUUGCUAAAGUUAUUGAUUAGUCCUAGCAGAAUAUUUUUGUGUGUGCAACUUUUAGGAUUUUUUGUCUAUAAAAUCAUAUCAUGGCCGGCGCCGAGGCUUAAUAGGCUAAUCCUCCACCUGCGGUGCCAGCACACCAGGUUCUAGUCCCGGUCGAGGCGCCGGAUUCUGUCUCGGUUGCCCCUCUUCCAGUCCAGCUCUCUGUUGUGGCCCUGGGAGUGCAGUGGGCCCCUUGGGCCCUGCACCCGCAUGGGAGACCAGGAGGAAGCACCUGGCUCCUGGCUUCAGAUCAGCGCAGUGCGCCGGCCGCAGCACGCCGGCCACAGCGGCCAUUGGAGGGUGAACCAACAGUAAAGGAAGACCUUUCUCUCUGUCUCUCUCUCUCAUUGUCUAUUCUGCCUGUCAAAAGAAAAAAAAUCAUAUCAUAUGCAAACAUAUAAUUUUACUACUUCCUUUCCAAUUUGGAGGCCUUCCCCCCUCAAUUGCUUUUUCCCCCCAAUUGCUUUCAUACUCUUGUAAUUAUUUUGAAGUAUAUAACAGAUUAUUGUAGACCAUAGUUGCCCUUCUAGGCUAUAGAACAUCAGAAUAUUGUGCAUUUUUUAAAAAGAACUUAUUUAUUUAUUUGAGAAGCAGAGAGAUAGGAAAACAGAUACAGGGAACCCCCAUGUACUAGUUCAUUCCACCAGAUGCCUGCAAUGACCCAUACUAGGCUUGGUUAAAGUUGGGAGCUGGAAACAUAUUCCAAGUGUUCCAGAUAAAUGUCAGGAACCCAAUUACUUGAGCCAUCACUGCUUCCUCUGAGGGCCUACAUUGCUGGAAGCUGGAGUCAGGAGCUGGAGUAGGUAUUGAACUCAGGUGCUCUGAUGUGGAAUGCAGGCAUCUUAACCAGCAUCUUAAUCUUAAGUUUCUCUUUUUUAUUGGAAAGGCAGAGUUACAAAGAGAGAGGGGGAAAGACAGAAAGAGAUUUUCCAUCCUCUGGUUCAUUCCCCCAAGAUGGCCGCAACGGCCAAAGCUGCACUGAUCCGAAGCCAGGCCGAUCCAGAGCCAAGAGCUUCUUCUGGGUCUCCCACAUGGAUGCAGGGGCCCAAACACUUGGCAUCUUUUGCUGCUUUCUCAGGCACAUUAGCAAGGAUCAGACAUGGAACAGUCAGACUCAAACCCAGAGCCCAUAUGGGAUGCCCAGAACCCAUAUGGGAUGCCAGGGCUGCAGGAGUGGCUUAACCUGCUGUACCACAGCGCCGACCUAUACCCCAUGUUUUUUAAUGCAAGCAUCUUUACCUAUAAAUUUUCUCCUCACACUGGGGCUAGCAUUUUGGCAUAGAGAAUUAAGCUACCACUUGUGAUGCCAGCAUCCAAUAUGGGUGCCAGUUUGAGUCCUGGCUGCUCCUUGUUGAUUCAGCUCUCUGCUAAUGGCCUGGGAAUGCAGCAGAAGAUGGCCCGAGUGCUUGGGCACCUGCACCCAUGUGGGAGACCCAGGUGAAAUUCCUGGCUCCUGGUUUCAGCCUGUUCCAAUCUUGGCUGUUGUGGCCAUUUGGUGAGUGAACCAGCUGAUGGAAGCUCGCUCUCUCUCUCUCUCUCUCUCUCUCUCCCCCCCUUUAUCUCUCCUCUCUCUCUCUCUAACCCUGCCUUUCAAAUAAGUAUAUAAAUCAUUUUUUAAAGAUUUAUUUAUUUAUUUAUUUGAAAGAGUUACACAGAGAGGAAAGAGAGAGAGAGAGAGAGAGAGGUCUUCCAUCCGAUGGUUUACUCCCCAACUGGCUGCAACAGCCAGAGCUGCACCGAUCCGAAGUCAGGAGCCAGGAGCUUCUGGGAUUCCCUUGCAGGGGCCCAAGGACUUGGGCCAUCUUCUGCUGCUUUCCCAGGCCAUAUCAGAGAGCUGGAUUGGAAGUGGAGCAGCCAGGUCUCGAACCGGUGCCCAUAUGCGAUGCUGGCGCUUCAAGCCAGGACGUUAACCCGCUGCACUACAGUGCUGGCCCUUAAACAAGUAUAUAAAUCUUUAAAAAAAAACUGUUGAGAUUUAAUUUGUAAACUAAAUUUGGUCUUUCUGAGAAAAUGUCUCAUGUGUACUUGAGAAGAAUGUGUAUGCUAUUGUUAUUGUAUAGCAUGUUUUGUAUAUGUCUGUUGCAUCUAGUUGGUUUGUUCUGUUAAGUCCUCCAUUUCCUUCCUUAUUUUCUGUCUUAUUCUAGCCAUUAUUAAGAGUGAAGUAUUGAGUCUCUGUUAAUAGAACUCUGUGAUUAUUCCUUUAGUUCUGUCAAUUUUGCUGCAUUUUUUAUGGUUUGAAUUUAGAGGUGUAAAUGGUUAUUAUUGGUAUACCUUAUUGCUAUAUUGAACCUUUAAUUAAAAAAAUAAUAUAUUAUUAUAUGAUGUCCUUUGUCUCUUGUAAUCUUUUUGUUUGUUUUUUUAAAAAAAAGAUUUAUUUAUUUUACUUGAAAGUCACAGUCACACAGAGAGAGGAGAGGCACAGAGAGAGAGAGAGAGAGAGAGGUCUUCCAUCUGAUGGUUCACUCCCCAGAUGGCCGCAAUGGCCGGAGCUGUGCCAAUCCAAAGCUAAGAGCCAGUUCUUCUGGGUCUCCCACAUGGAUGCAGGGGCCCAAGGACUUGGGCCAUCUUCUACUGCUUUCCCAGGUCAUUGCAGAGAGCUGGAACAGAAGUGGAGCAGCCAGCUCUCAAACCGGCGCCCAUAUGGGAUGCUGGCACUGCAGGCAGCAGCUUUACCCAUUACACCACAGCGCCGGUCCCCUUGUAAUCUUUUUUUUUUUUUUUUUUUGACAGGCAGAGUGGACAGUGAGAGAGAGAGACAGAGAGAAAGGUCUUCCUUUACCGUUGGUUCACCCUCCAAUGGCCGCCACGGCUGGCGUGCUGCGCUGAUCCAAAGGCAGGAGCCAGGUGCUUCUCCUGGUCUCCCAUGGGGUGCAGGGCCCAAGCACUUGGGCCAUCCUCCAUUGCACUCCCUGGCCACAGCAGGGAGCUGGCCUGGAAGAGGGCAACCGGGACAGAAUCUGGUGCCCCGACCGGGACUAGAACCCGGUGUGCCGGCGCCGCUAGGUGGAGGAUUAGCCUAGUGAGCCGCAGCGCCGGCC